rnacentral:piRNA from 1 species
UGGGUGGGUGAACAGAGCUGGAUGGGU